CAACGUGGAACUGCCGCCCUUGUGCGAAAGCAUUGUGGUGCAGGUGAUGCCCGGCUUUGGCGAGCCCAGCAAUG
rnacentral:SRP_RNA from 1 species